GCCUUGGUGGUGGAAUGGUAGACACGCGGGACUUAAAAUCCCGUGGGCAGCAAUGUCCGUGUGGGUUCAAGUCCCACCCGAGGUA
rnacentral:tRNA from 1 species